AUUGAACGCUGGCGGCAUGCUUUACACAUGCAAGUCGAACGGCAGCGCGGGCUUCGGCCUGGCGGCGAGUGGCGAACGGGUGUGUAAUACAUCGGAACGUGCCCAGUAGUGGGGGAUAGCUCGGCGAAAGCCGGAUUAAUACCGCAUACGACCUGAGGGUGAAAGCGGGGGAUCUUCGGACCUCGCGCUAUUGGAGCGGCCGAUGGCGGAUUAGCUAGUUGGUGGGGUAAAGGCCUACCAAGGCGACGAUCUGUAGCUGGUCUGAGAGGACGACCAGCCACACUGGGACUGAGACACGGCCCAGACUCCUACGGGAGGCAGCAGUGGGGAAUUUUGGACAAUGGGCGAAAGCCUGAUCCAGCAAUGCCGCGUGUGUGAUGAAGGCCUUCGGGUUGUAAAGCACUUUUGGCGGGAACGAAAAGGACUGUGCCAAUACCACGGUUCGAUGACGGUACCCGCAGAAUAAGCACCGGCUAACUACGUG
rnacentral:rRNA from 1 species